rnacentral:rRNA from 1 species
AUUGAACGCUGGCGGCAGGCCUAACACAUGCAAGUCGAGCGGAACGGCGGACGGGUGAGUAAUUACUAGGAAUCUGCCUGGCAGUGGGGGAGGGCGUACGGAAGGGAGCGCUAGUUAAUCAUGCAUGCAAAUGAACCUAGGUGGGAUGAGCUAGUUGGUGGGUUAAAGGCCUACCAAGGCGACGAUCCGUAACUGGUCUGAGAGGAUGAUCAGUCACACUGGAACUGAGACACGGUCCAGACUCCUACGGGAGGCAGCAGUGGGGAAUAUUGGACAAUGGGCGAAAGCCUGAUCCAGCCAUGCCGCGUGUGUGAAGAAGGUCUUCGGAUUGUAAAGCACUUUAAGUUGGGAGGCGUUACCAACAGAAUAAGCACCGGCUAACUUCGUGCCAGCAGCCGCGGUAAUUC